AUAUGUAUGUAUAUUAUAUUUUGAGAGCAGUAGGAUUUUCCUUCUCAAUUUAAUUCCCUUCUCUCCCCUUGUCCCAUUGCUUUUUGAAUUUCAGAGAACAUUCCUUUCCCUGAACAUGUCUCAUUCCAUGAUGGGAUGCCAUGAGCAUCAUAAACAGAGGCCAUGAAAAUAUGAGGAAAACACAAAAUUCUGAAAUUUUAUUGAGUUCAGCAAUCAGAUUUAAUGAGAAUCUUUGUAUCUUCUCCUUUUGUAAAUCCCAUAUUGCAGGCAACAUUGAGGCUGGGAGACCAGGGGAGAUUCAGUCAUUUGCUCUUCUAAGUCUUUGAUUGCAUCUGCUCUAGGAUUGAGCCUCACUGUCUUUCUUCAGUCAUAUUCUUCUGUGCACAUGGUAACAAUUGAUGUGUCCCUCUGCCUGUCAUGUAUCUCUCAUUAGCUGUUCAACUCACCCUGAGCUUGUAAAAUAGACAACAAAAUGAACAAGGAUCAGUCAGAAAUAUGACUUUUGAAUUCUUUUCUCCCCGACCAGCGAUCUGAUUCCAAAAGAGUAUUGGUAUCCUCCUUUCCUAUGCCUGAAGUUGCAUUAUGAUCCAACCAGAAGGAGAGCAUAGGGGCAAUCACAAAGAGCAGCUGACAGCUUUGAUGGCUACACAAAGAACAGCAAGGAAAGGAUACUCUAACAAAGGCAAUGGAAGGUCUACAGAUAAUGCUUCAGGACAGUCAUAUCCAUUGGGAAAGUGGGUCCAGAAUAGAAGAGGGAAGGAGGGAGCUGUCCAGUGAGAUAAGGAGUCUUCUGUUUGGAAGAAGGAAACUUGGAGAAAGUUCUCCAUGGCAAGGAGAGGGAGUACUGCUCAGUCAACUGUCACAACUACUUGUUUUAAAAGGAUAA
rnacentral:lncRNA from 1 species